CCAGCUCUUGCUCCAUCCCUUCCCUCCGCUAUCUCUUCCAGUCCAGAUGAAGAUUCAACUCUCCGUCUGCCUCCACAGAGGCUGCCUGACCUGCUGAGUUCCUCCAGCAUUUUCUGCAUUGCAGCAUAAUUAGCAGGGACAGAGAGCGAGCCUGUGACAUGUCGAACUGUCGGUAUGUUGUCUUUUGCACCCCAGUUGGUGCGGUCAUUCAUCGAUUCUAUUGACCUGGAGUUAUACUCAGGCUUUGGUCCUUUGUGGUGGUGGGACCCACUCCCAGGGGUUCACGGCCAGCUGCUUCUUGAUAUCCCAAGGACGCGACCUAGAAGACGAGUGCGUCUUUGGGGUUCCAAGGUUUCGCGGGCUUGUGGACGGGCUGAUUCUAAGCUGGCGCCGCCUUCUGAAGUGUCACGGAAGAGAAGAGAACAUCGGGAACGGCAGAUCAGCUGUCGGAAACUCGCUGAGUUGUGCUUUCUCUCUCCCCCUCUCCUUGGGGGGGGGGGGGUUGAAUCAUUGCCGACUCUCGGGUCACAGAACUCGGGGAAAAAUGAGCAACACAACAGACUUUUAACACCGUAAAUCAGCGAGUUGUUUUGUUAUGUCUCCCCUCUCGCUGUGAAACCUGGACACCCCUUUUGUCUGUUGUUAGGGAGAGAGAGAGUCUGCGGUGUGCCGAAUUGUUGGGUGAACGAUUGGCUUUUGUUGUACUGCAGAUCAUGGCCUUUAUUGGGGGCUUUGCUAUUGCUUGGUGGGUGGAGGGUGCUGACGCCUUUUUGCGUAAGUGGGGGUGGGGGAGAUUCAUUUCUUUGCUGCUGCUUGUGUGUGGGAGUGUGGAGUAGAGAGUGCUUUGGGGUUCUAACAUUUUAACUGUCUCUGAUUCUUUGGGGCACUCUUCUGGAUGUCUGUGAAGAACAAGAACUUGUAGGAUGUGUGUUGU